UACAGAGGGUGCAAGCGUUAAUCGGAUUUACUGGGCGUAAAGCGUGCGUAGGCGGUUCGCUAAGUCGGUUGUGAAAUCCCUGGGCUUAACCUGGGAACUGCAGUCGAUACUGGCGAACUAGAAUGCGGUAGAGGGUGGCGGAACUCCGGGUGUAGCGGUGAAAUGCGUAGAUAUCCGGAAGAACACCGAUGGCGAAGGCAACCACCUGGCCUGCAUUGACGCUGAGGUACGAAAGCAUGGGAGCAAACAGG
rnacentral:rRNA from 1 species